UCGCGGCGGCGUGCGCAGAAGGGUCUGGGCUCGAGCCUGCCUGGAGCCGCCGCCGGUGCAGAUCUUGGUGGUAGUAGCAAAUACUCCAGCGAGGCCCUGGAGGACUGAUGUGGAGAAGGGUUUCGUGUGAACAGCCGUUGCACACGAGUCAGUCGAUCCUAAGCCCUAGGAGAAAUCCGACGCCUACGGCGACGGGAUUUUUGAAAUUUUUUAACGACCCGUUGAUCGGGCGAAAGGGAAUCCGGUUCCUAUUCCGGAACCCGGCAGCGGAACCGCUGUUUGUCGGGCCCUCACAAGGGGUUCGUCAGGGUAACCUAAAAGGGCCCGGAGACGCCGUCGGGAGCCCCGGAAAGAGUUUUCUUUUCUGCAUGAGCGUUCGAGUUCCCUGGAAUCCUCUCGCAGGGAGAUAGGGUUUGGAACGCGAAGAGCACCGCAGUUGCGGCGGUGCCCGGGAAUUCCCGACGGACCUUGAAAAUCCGGGAGAGGGCCACGUGGAGGUGUCGCGCCGGCUCGUACCCAUAUCCGCAGCAGGUCUCCAAGGUGAAGAGCCUCUAGUCGAUAGAAUAAUGUAGGUAAGGGAAGUCGGCAAAUCGGAUCCGUAACUUCGGG
rnacentral:rRNA from 1 species